rnacentral:misc_RNA from 1 species
GUAGAAAAGAGGCCAUUGUAAUUAAUGAUUGAAGACUACAGUUGGUCAUAUAUUGUCUGUCCUAGCGGCAGUUGAAUCUUUCUAAAAGAGGAAGAAAUUUUUUUCCCCAUUGGGAGGUUUGAUGGAUUUACGUAUACCCAAGCUGGCAGGCACACAAAAAUUAUAAUGAUAUUGCAAUUUGCAAUAGCAAAGUAGAAUGAAAAAAAUUGGAACCCUAGGAAGAGAAUUUCUUAAAAAGAUUCCUAGAGAACAAGAUUUAUGUUGUAUCUAUCGCUGAGGACAUCGGGAUCAUCAUUGGUCACGAGAUAAUCCACUUUAUUAUAUUCUAAUACUAGACGAAGUAAUGAUCAUUUCAAAGACUAAACCAUAUUAAUGACGAUACCAUCCAAGCAUCAGGAAGAAGGAACAUUGUGAACUUGCCAUGAAGAUGCCAGCAUGAUAGGUCUUCCUUUCCAGCCAAGAAGGAGACAACCCUUUUCGCUGGCUAGAGUGUAUCCAUCACAGCCAUAAACAGAAAGCAUCAUUCUAGCUUGGCUCAUGCACUUCAACCCCACUACUUGAAACCCUGCUCUGCCUAAUUGCCUUCUCCAUUGGUCUGCCCUUUCAUGCCUCUCAACCCUAUCAGAACCUUCAUAAGCUACAAUGUUGCGAAUCUCGUCGGCAAAGUGAAGAUUCUCUAUCUUCAUCCUUUGCUGGCUAUUUCGUGGAAGACUAGCCUCAAGGGAAUCAAAAAUUGCUGAAUAGUAGUGGAGAGAUUCAAGAAAUCUCCCAAGAAAAAAAGGACCAUUAUGGUUUGCAUCUUGCUCCACAACAGUAAGUAAGGUUGGAUUUAAUUUCUUGAUUGCUUGGAGAAUCGCCUUGAGGGAGCCUCUACUCUCUUUGACAAACUUGUGCAAGUUCAUAAUGCUAUUGACAAAUAAUGCCUCCCCUUCCCUCAAGUUGAGAUUUUCUGGAGUUAAAAUUGAUGGAGUUAUCUGCUCUGAUAUCAUAUUAAACUCUAAAGAGAUGCCUAAUGAACUAGCAUCCUCCGCCAGCACUUUCAUGCUAGCUUCAAGCUCUAAUAAAUUUUGCUCAUUAUUGACUAAUCCUGUGAUUCGGACUUUAGGUGGCCCCUCAGGCCUUGAUGCUAGAGUUCUGACAAAAGAAGGCCACUGAAGGGUGUGAUCCAUUCCUAGAUCAAUCAAAUGUAAUGAGUCCUUCCCUCUUGCUGCUUGACUUAUAGCUUCGUUUGCAGCCAUGAAUCCAAAAGCAAUGUAAGGAGUUGUUUGAUAAAGGAGUCGAAAGGCUUCCAUUUUCUCUUCCCCAGUGAUCAGUGACACAUCCAUGGCACCAUUUGUGAAAGUACCAUUGGCAUUGACAUUGUGAAGAAGUGACAAUCUUGAUUUCAAACCUAUUGCAAAGCAAUUUGAAACUCUUUGCAAAGAAUCACCCCAAGGAUUAACUGAAGCCCAAAUUCGGCAAAGAAUUGAGUUUGCCAAUUGGGUGUCUCUACAACCCACAGCCUCAGCACACGCCAACAACCUCAGCACACGCCAACAACAAGCGCACCAAAUAAAGGCCUUGGUCUACGUCAUAACUCACCUCUUCAAACCUUGGAACAGCAACAAAAUCUUCAAAUGAGUCGAUGCUUAUCUCCAAUUCAUCUCCUCCUAACAGCAUUGGAACAUCGCCAAAAACAUUGUCCACCAUGGAAAAUGUCUCCAUCUCAUCUUGAAAGUGAUCGAUAAAUUUUGGAACUUCUGGGGGCAUCGAUGAUUAUCAUCUUUGUCUUCUUGAUCCACAUUAACGAAGCUAUCAUCGACCUCAGAAGCAGCUAGGUGAAGAGUGCUGGUGGUGGUAUCAUCAGAAGAAGAGAGCAGUUCAAACUCAUGAUUCAUCAUUGUUUCCUCCAACUCUUCUCCUUGUUCCUGCUCCAUUCAAGCAGGGCAGAACCUUCGAAUGGCAAGAUCAUGGUUGAGACUCUCGUGCAUGGGGAAGGAGAGCCAGCAAUUCAAGGCUUCCAUUGGUCAAAUUCUUGAAGGAGAGGUGGGGGAAGUAAAAAUGGCUAAUCAGACUUUGGAUAUCAGUCACAUAGGAUAAAAUAUAUGGCGUUCCCUUCUCUUAGCUAUGUUGAAUAAGAAUAUUCUAAGUUUUGUCUAAUUGAAUCUUCCACAAAGAAUAUGUUAAAAAUGUGAAGGGUAAUUAGCAGGC